AAGAAAGGUCCAAGAUGUAUUCACAUAAUCUCUGCUGUUCAUCUAAUAUGCACGCUGGCUCAAAUCCUCCAUGUAUUAUCCUCUUGGUUUUGCUUAGUCUUUACACAGGAAAGCCUCCCACAGAAAUAAAAACUGAGCAAGAAACCUCAAAACUGGAUGCACUAUUAAUUUUCCUCAGAUUUUCAUACAACUUGAAAGAUUGUUUUGUUUCAAGCCUGCCCUCUACCCACUUCCCCAACCCAGCAGGGCUGAACAAAAAUAUUUUUAGCAUGUGACAGCUAAGUUGAAAUGCAUUGAUUCUUUUUUAAAAAAGAAAACCUGGGUCAAUUUGCUACAAUUACAUUUAUUUUCGUGUAAUUGAGCAAAUUGUGGUGUCCAAACUGCUGGUUACUGAUUAAAGCCUGCAACUGAUCAGAUGGCAGAGAUCAGAGCAGCUAAGGAAGGAUAAAUGCUGGUGUUUGAUCUUCUAUUGCAGUGGUAUUUUGAACUUUCGGGGAACCCUUUUUCACAGCUCAGAAAUGAAACCCUGUGGAGGAUUGUGGGAGAAUGUUCCAGAUGGGGACCACAGGAUUGGCUCAACCGUUUUUUGUUGGUUAGAAUUCAGCACCUCAGAAUCCUCUUCAAUAUCUUUAAAAAGUCUGGGGUGGACUCAAUAAAUCAUGUAGGCAGUGAGUGUGUCCUUUCACUUUGUUCUUAUAGAGAGCUCCUGCACAGGUAUCUCCUUAUUAACGUUUAGGGAUCUUCCUGUCUGUUUCACUUCAGACUGAUCACACGGGCACACACUUGUCCUCAGCAGUAUCCUGAAAAGCCUCUCUCAGCAGCCAUUCUCCUCACAACAGAGAGAAGGAACAGAAAGCAGUUUAAAAAACGAGAGUUACUGGAAUAACAAUCACAACAGAAUGGAAUGCCUCCCUCAUGUGACUCACAGUCAGCCAAUCACAGGAGAGCUACUGCCAAAGGAAAAAACCUCAUGUUAAAAAUACACAGCAGUUCAACAUAAGCAAACAUCCCCAUUUCUGGAAAUUAAACCAUUAUCCUUAACACGACGCACUUCCACUGCUGGACGCGGUUGAAAAUGGCUUCUCCAAGUGAACCAGGAAGUGACCUUGCCAGGCAACAGAAUGACUCUUCUUUUCUUAUCAGUGCGGCUGUGAUCUCCUGGGUGGCAUGGACACCAUUAGGCAGUUGAAUGUACAAGUUUACAUGUUUACUCCAUCUGUUUCCCUCCUUCCCACCCCCACUUUGCGCAGCCCCGGGCUCUGGCAACCCACACUAAGCCACUGAGUUGCAGUUCAACAACUUGUGCAUACUUUAGCUGCUUCUGCCUCUAAGGGUAGCCAUUAGUAUCUCCCAACAGAGAAGGGGCUGAUAAGCUUCUAUGGAACCCUAACCUCCCACCCACCUCACCAGCCUUCCUUAAAAAACUCACUGUCCUUCCCACUGCCUUCCAGGAGAAGCUUCCAACAACAGUGGUGGGUUGUACGACAAGGGAGAAGGAGAGCGGGAGGACAAUAAAAAAAGCAAGACGGGCAUAAAUGCACACGGUAGUUGGGCCAAAAUCAGACAUGGACAUCUGGACCACCCGGGCCCUGCUUAAGAAAUGCAGCAUCAGUCACGCCUCCCGAGUGGGAAGAAUCAAUUCCAUGUUGCUGCCUGCAGAUCUAACAUUAACUCGCCCAUCCGAUGUCUUGGUAAGAUAAUUCACCCUUCUCCGCCGAAGGUUGCAUCGAGCCUUUCCCCUGAAAAUUGAUAUUCUCCACCUGUCAAGGCUGUAUUUAUGAUGAGGAUAAAAAUAAUAAUGUCUUCCUGCAGGGGAAUAAUAAGAUGUGGAGCAUUCAGAAAACCUGGCAGAGAAGUGUGAUUUUGGAACAGUGGAGGGCACUCCCUCAUUCACUGUAAUACCAGGAGUUGUAGCCCACUUUGCUGAGGUAAGCAGCGGUGUUUUGUCUGAACCCAGAGGGUUCGGGCUUCUCAUUGUAGAGCCAAUGUUGGGUAGUGGUUCAAUCUAUCAGAUUAAGAGCUGAGGAAACUCUACCUGAGCUCUCCAUUCAGCUUCAAUGCCCUUGGGCUAGUUAUUAUUUCUUAACCUAAGCUGCCUCACAGGGUUGUUGUGAAGAAAGCAUUGGGGAGAGAACCAUGUAAUCCGCCUUGAGCUCCUAUGGGGAAAGGGGGACAUAUAUUAAUUGAGGGAAUGUGACAGGAAAGUUUUAAGACAGAUUCAGUUAUGAGUCACACCAAAACAAACACGUGGAUCUUGAAAACAGUAAAUUCCACUGAAUAACCAAGGUUGGAGAGAAAUGAAUGCAAGCCUACCUAAUUUACUUCAUGCAUGAACCAAACGCAAACCAAAACGCAGCUAUCUGUCUGAAUUUGUGCUUCUCUAAAUUUUGCAGUUUUUCUCCAACCAAAAAUAUGCAUUUAAAAACCCCAUUUUAGGGGAAAGUGUGCACAAAAAUACAUAAAAUGUGUGUGUGUGUGUGUGUGUGAAAAUUUGCAACAUGCAGUAUAUCAGAUGAAAAUGUAUGUCAGGAGAAAUAUACACAAAAAGUACAAAUUUGCAUGUGGACUUUUUUAAAGGGAAUUCAUAUACUGAUGCAGUAAUGGGGUGGGGUGGAGAGCUUAAAUAAAAAACGAAAAAACUGAAAGAACCCAAAAUUGACAGAUCUGUCCACCCCUAGAAAGAAAAAGACUUGGCAGCAGCUGAGUUAGCUGACCAUGGUCCUUUUAUUCUAGUGGGCAAACCUUGGGCUUCACAGUGAAAACAAUCUCUCCCUUUCUCUUUGUCCCGUUGAGAGUUGCUCGAGGCCCCUAUUAAUGUGGUCCCCCACUGCUUUUGGCUCAGGCCCAUCUCUGUAGGCCAAUUCAGCAAAGGAAGAGGGUUGAAAAGAGAUCUGGGGAGGAGAAAGCUCAGAAGGCCUGCCAGGGGGGAGGAGGAGAACAGAGGCUUCUCUUCUGCCUUCGGGGGCUGCUACCUGUGUGGGUGUUUUGUGUGUGAGCGUUUGAGCGCAUUCGGAUGCCAGCACAUGCAUCUCACUGCAGGGAGGUGAUCAUAGGCAUAAUGAGAGAGGCUGGCAUUGCAAACAGCCAAGUGAGAAAGAAAGGGCAUCUGUGGGCACAGCCAGCACCACUGUAGAUCAGAACAUUCUCCAAUAUAGCAAUGGUUGCCAUUUGUUGAAACAGUGAGGGGAAUGGAUAGAGCAUCAUAUUAUAGGACCAUACAAGGGAUGCGGGUGGUGCUGUGGGUUAAACCACAGAGCCUAGGACUUGCCGAUCAGAAGGUCGGUGGUUCGAAUCCCCACGACGGGGUGAGCUCCCGUUGCUCGGUCCCAGCUCCUGCCAACCUAGCAGUUUGAAAGCACAUCAAAGUGCAAGUAGAUAAAUAGGUACUACUCCAGAGGGAAGGUAAACGGCGUUUCCGUGCACUGCUCUGGUUCGCCAGAAACAGCUUAAUCAUGCUGGCCACAUGACUGUACGCCGGCUCCCUCAGCCAAUAAAGCAAGAUGAGUACCACAACCCCAGAGUCGGCCACGACUGGACCUAAUGGUCAGGGGUCCCUUUACCUUUACCUUUACAAUGGAUCAAGAGUUCAGGCUGCCAUCUCCUCAUGGAUAAAUAUGGAACUGGAGAGCAGGAAACUGGUAAACUGGCCACAUUCACACCAUACUUUUAUAGCACUUUGAACAGUCAUGGCUUCCACCAAAGGAUUCUGGAAGCGGAGGUUUAUAGAGAGUGCUGAAAGUUAUUACGAGAUCCCUAUUCCCCGCACAAAGCUACAAUUCCCAGAGUUCCCUGUGAAGAGGGAUUGAUUAUUAAGCCACUCUGGGAAUUGCAGCUCAGUGAGGGGAACAGGGGUAUCCUAGGGACUCACAGCAGCCUUACCAAACUACAGCUCCCAGAAUUCUUUUGAGAGAAGCCAUGACUGUUUAAAGUGGUAUCAUAGGGUUUUAAAUGUAUGGUGUCAAUGUGGCCUUGGUCUCCUACAAAGCAAUUAUCCUACUUAGCAAUUGCAGUCUUCUCGGGGACCGGCAAACAAAAUUACAACCUUAUGCACUAUCACCACAAAGCAACUUACCUUUCUUGGGCAUUUUAAGCACAUUUACAGUGUGUAUCAUUCAAUGAGUGUACAGUCUAUGUGCCUGUUUUCACAGAUAGUGGAGCUGUAGAAAUAAACACAAACACUUGCACAUGUGUAGAGACAGCUUGUACCUGUGUUUAGUGCAACGUGUGAACGAAUCUUUACUGUUGUGCUUCGAUGUCUGACGAAUUUCCUCUCCCUUCUUUUUGUUGUUGUUAAAAGCUAUUAGCCAUGACAGUUGAUAGAGCUGGCUCAGUUGGUAGAGCAAGAGACCCUUAAUCUCAGUGCUGUGGGUUCGAGCCCCACAUUGGCCCAAAGAGUCCUGCAUUGCAGGGGGUUGGACUAGAUGACCCUUGUGGUCCCUUCCAACUCUAUAAUACUUGUAUGAUACUUGUAUGAUACUUCCAGUUUAAAUGGAACUUCCAGGCUCUGAGCAGUAUAUGUCAAUUGCAAGCGACACACAAGUUGUACUUGUGUCCUGCUUCUGUCUGAUCCACAGGGCCCUUAUGUUUUUGAAACUGGAGACUGCACAAUUUUGCCUUCAGGGAGAAUAUGGACAAACUUCAUCCACAGCUAUCUCCAUGUACUUGGACAAAACUCCAGAAACACAAGCAGACCAUAAUAAUGAUGAAUGAGUUGGGGAUAUCCUAUUUCAAGAGUAGAGAACCAGAUGGUAUUGGACUCCAGUUCCCAUCAGUCCCUGCCAGCAUGGCCAAUGGUCAAGGAUGAUGGAAGCUGUGGUCUAAAAACAUCUUGGGGGGGGGCAGAGUUUCUCCCAUUCCUGCCCUAACCAGAUCUGUUUCACCUGCUUUAACCUGCAAUCCUCUAUCCACGUACUCAAGCGUAAGCCCUACUUAAUGAAACUUACUUCUGAACAGACAUGUCCAGGAUUGCACCGUGAAUUAGGUUACAAAUGGAGAAUCAGCUUUUGCUGUUUGCUGCCGCGGCCUAUUGUUAUGUCUAUCAGGAAGGGGACCUGUGUGUUCCUAAACAAGGUGGGAAGAGACGUCCCUUCGUCCCAAGCGCCUGUUCAAUUAUAGAGAUGACCUUUGAAAGCCCCGAGCAACCAAGCUGAACGGAAGAGGAUGUGAAAGGUUUGGGAUUCUGUUUAUACAAAUGAUCACAUUUCAGAUCCCACUGGUGGCAUGAACCAGGAGGAGGAGGGAAAUAGAUGAUGCAAGAGGGGACUGAGAGGAGAUGCGAUAGCCACCUUCAAAUGUCUGACGGGCUGCCCCAUGGAAGAUGGAGCAAGAUGUUUUCUCCUUCUCUGGGAGUUAGGGCUUGACCCAAUGGCUUCAAGUUACAAGAAAGGAGAUUCCGACUAAACUGAACAUCCUCUUAGUUCAGUAUUGCCUGCACUGACUGGUAGGGGCUGUCCAGGAUUUCAGGCAGGGGAAAUUCUCACCAAGCUGAAAAACAACAGCAUGGCAAUAGAUCCAGGACCACAGAAAGAUUUGGAUUUUUAAUAUAUUUGGAUCUGUUUUAACAGCUGCUUUAUGGUUAAACACAGCCAAGGAGCAAACACGGAGAGUUAUUUUACUGUUUCAUUAUUGAUGGCUAGAUUGCCUAUGAAUUCCUUUCUUUAGGCAGACUGGCAAUGGCAGCGCCUGGAACCACAGCUCAGCCCAGGCUCUUUCUGGCUAGCUGCACUGCUAAAAAAACCCAAACAUAUUUCGCUGGAACGGUAUGUCUGCAUGAUGCCGGCUCGAGCUGGGAAGGAGCAAUGGAGUCGACUGAUGGCCAUCAUUUGCAAAACAUCCAUCAAACUAUUAAAAGGGAGCCAAGAAGGUUCCCUUUGUCCAUGACAUUGCCUUUCUUUGUCCUGUGCCACAGUCCAGAAACAAGGCUGAAGCCCUCCCUCUGAGGCUUGUCACCAUCCUUCGGUGAUAUAUAAUUCUCUGUGAAGCGGCAAUUCUCAAAUCAAAGUGCCAAGGCUGUGUGUGUUAAGUAUAAUUGUUUACUUGACACUGAAAUGGGGAAUGACUAAAUGAUUAAACAACCAUUGUUGUUUUCUGCUAGCUAAAACGUGAGUGUUUAACCUUAGAUUAGGUGACAAAGGUAUUUGGUUGCAAAUUGCCAUCUUGGAAGAGUAGUGGCUAAGUCUUUGUUCUCAGGCUCUGUGAGAAUAAGAAGUGAUAAUGGAGUUCACUCAGGAGCAUGCAGCCUCAGAAAAAACGGAGGAUGCAAGGAUAGAGAUCUUUGAUUCUAGGUUUGUUUGGAAUUACCUUUUAUUUCUAAGAAGAUGAACCUGUGCCGGACUGGCACAAGAUAUUGUAUGGAAUUAUAUGGAUGUAUCUAUCUUUGAUGUUUUUGUCCCAUUCUGAAGAAAGUUCUGCAAGUAAAUCUUUGAAUUCAACUUAAGGGCCUUCACAGUGUUAUAUUUCCAAAAGGAGUUGGUUUUUAUGCAUACAGUCGCUUCAAGCUACACAAUAUUAAUAUCUGCAAUAGUUUGGAAUGAGAUUUUGGAGUAGUUGGGGACAGUAGUGGUUAAGUAUCACCAAAUCUGCGCAGUUAGAUCCAGCAGACACAGAAAGAGGGAAAUCCCAAAUGGGGCAGGCUAAUAUUUAUUAUUUCAGAGUCCAGAGAAGGGUGCAUUUUGAGCAAAGGGAUCUCUUCUUCAGGUGAAUAAACAAAUCCUAUACUCUUAUGAAUUAUGGUGCUGGAGGAGACUCUUGAGAGUCCCAUGGACUGCAAGAAGAACAAACCUAUCCAUUCUGAAGGAAAUCAGCCCUGAGUGCUCACUGGAAGGACAGAUCGUGAAGCUGAGACUCCAAUACUUUGGCCACCUCAUGAGAAGAGAAGACUCCCUGGAAAAGACCCUGAUGUUGGGAAAGAUGGAGGGCACAAGGAGAAGGGGACGACAGAGGAUGAGAUGGUUGGACAGUGUUCUCGAAGCUACAAACAUGAGUUUGUCAAACUGUGGGAGGCAGUGGAAGACAGGAGUGCCUGACAUGCUCUGGUCCAUGGGGUCACAAAGAGUCGGACAUGACUAAACGACUAAAAAACAACAACAUACUCUUCUACAGUGAAAUCUAAUAAAAAGAAACAUGCAGUUCUCAGUCACAGCCAGCGUGGAUGUUUACCUGCUGGGUUUUCUGCCUCUCAUGCAGAAAGGCACAGCUGUUCAGCUGAAGUGAGGUGAAGUAGCAUCUCUGGGUGCCAUUUUUGUUUAUGCAUCUAAAAUAUUUUUUACACCCCUUUACUUUAAAAGGCGGCUAAUACCACUAUCCAAACAACAACACCAUUUAAAAGCCAAUUACAAAGCUAACAGUGCAAUCUUACGCAUAGCUACUCAGAAAUAAAUUGAGUUCAGUGGAGCUUAUUCUCAAGUAAAUGGAUAUUAGGAUUGAAAUCUAAACAGCACAAAGCAGCAAGCUAAAGCCUAUUUUAUAAAAAUAGCAGCGCGGGGGGGGGGGGGAGGCAAUAACAUCAAUUAGCACCAUGUGUCAACAACCUUAAGCAAUAUUGACGGGUCUAUCAAAGCAAGAUGUAAUCAGCAGUGCUGGCUGGUACCCAUUGUUAGGCUGGAACACUGGGAGGCAGACAGCAGGGGGCGCCAGAGCCAACAAUAGGUGGAAUCAACUCAUUCUAGCUCCCCACCCCAACCUUCCUCCCUGCCGAAUUCUACAAAGUGAAAAGGUGGUCACUCUAAUCAACCAGCCUGCAGUGGUUCUUGACCACAGACCUUGCUGAAGAUCUUCUCCUUAAAUGAUUUCAUAAGGGAGUGAGCAAGGCGUAACUACCCUCAGAGACUUUGUGUGGCUAAUGAAUACGUCUCCCUCCUUGAUCACAGACAGAUAGACCCUGGAACACCUCGAAGGGCCUCCAGUGGUGAUCUUCUAUGUGGGUCAAUUUUGCAGUGGUCAAGCUGCAGUGUAAGAAGCGCUAAGUGAUUUGUCUGAAUCCACUAACAUGAACUCUAGGGCAAAAUCCUUUGCUAAACUGUGGGAAAGCACUUGCGAGAGAGAUGUAUUACUUGGAGCUAUUUUCCCUGUCCCACUCCCGCCCCCCCAAGCAGGAAACAGAGGUGGUCUUGGACGUACCUCUGGAAUAAACCAACUCGUGAUUGUUAUUCUUCUCUAUGGACGGGGAGUGGGGAGCCGAAAGCAAAGACAAAUGAAAUUGCUGCCGACCUCAAAAAUCCAGCCCAAUGCAUGAAUUGAAAUCAGAACUGCUCUUUGGAGUCUUGUAAGGAACUAGGCUUUCUCAAAAAAUAAAAAAUAAAAAUCAUUUCUAAUUGCAGUUCUUUAAAAAGUAUUUUUUUGAAGCACUUCAACUGAAAGCACUUUAGCUGAGUGUUCAGAUGGGAACAGUGGAAAGCAUUAAAAGAAGAACCAACAGCCCCCUUUCAUCACUGGCCAAGAAGGGGACUGCAUCACCCAGGCAGUUUCCCAUUACACUUAGCAUAUAUGUUUAGGCUAAAUCCAGAUGGCAUCCCCUCCCGCAAGCUGAUUUAGCACAGCAAUGCUAAACUGGAAAUAUGGGGUGUGGGGGGGGAAUAUCUCAUAAAAGGCUUCUCUUUCUCUCUUUCCUGUAUAAUGUUUUUGAACAGCACACGAUUUAAAAAGAGGAGGAGGGGAAAGCCUCAUUAGCUUUCGAUGGCUGAAUUGGAGCAAACAGCAAUCCGGGGGAAACCCAAAUUGCCAUUUGUUCCGAUUCAGCGGUAAAGAGCGGGUUUUCAUGUCGAAAGCGCUGGGACAAAAAAACAAAAACAAAAGAGAAAGAAAGGUAGUCCAAUACGGAGCUUAAAGCGCAGGGCAAAAGAUAAGUGGGAAUGAGCCUGGCGUCUGCAGGAGCCCCCACCACCGCAAAGCGCAGCGAUCAGUUGGGUAUUUCUUUAUUAAAUUUGCACUGAAGGCAUGCACAGCUACAGCCUUUGACAAUUCAGUUAGAGCUUUAACGCAUGCAAAAUAACCACAGCAAGAUAACUGAUGAGAACACAAUCAGCGGCUAUGAGUCAAACUUCUGGCGUCAGGGGCAGCGUGUCUUUGAAUACCAGUUGCUGCAUAACAGGAGUAGGAGAGGGCUAUCGCAGCUGUGUUCUGCUUGUGGGCUCCCCCUAGGCAUCAGGGAUUGACAGCAUGAGAAGCAUAGCUGUCAACCGUCCCUUAUUUGGCGGGAAAGUCCCUUAUCCCAGCGCUGUGUCCCGCUGCUGUCCCUUAUUGAUGAUGUCCCUUAAAUUUCCUGGGUUUCAAAGGAAGCAGCUCCUCUCCCUGCCUGCCUGCUGGCCAGGGAGGAGGGAGGCUCCAACUGUGUUGCUUGGCUGCGUUGCUCACCCAAUAAGGAGUCUAAGAACGACUGGGGGGUGGAGCUUGCAUGCCUUGUGCCGAUCAAAUCGGCCGCGUUGCCUGGGGACUCGCCUUUGCUCAGCGCUUCCCAGCGGAGAGGUGACGGUGGUUUGCCGGGUUGCUGUGCUGUGGGAACCACCGCUUGAGGCUUCAUUUGGCUGCUGGCUGGGCUUUCUGCCUUUGGCUCGGAGGGGCUCAGAAGUCGAACAUACCUGUGCUCUGAAAAUCCCUUAUUUUGGUUGCUGAUCCCUUAUUUUCAAAUCUGUAAGUUGACAGCUAUGAUGAGAAGAGAGGGCUGGCCUACAUGGCCCCUUUGGCCUGAUCCUGCUUAAUAUACCGAGGGUUGGACUAGCCGACCCUCAGGGACACCCACCCAACUCUACGAUUCUGAGAUUCUAAGCACAACUAGAGCUUGAAUGUAACCCCACAGAGUGGUUUUGUCCGAACUCAAAAUCUGUUGGACGUAACGCAGAUUACUUCAUUCAGUAUGCUAAUUUAGUAUGGACUUAGGGUACAAAGCUCAAAGCUGAACAGGCUCGCUGAGAAUAACCCAUGGCAGCUUGAUGUUGUCAACGUAUCUGCAGCAAAAGUAACAGCCUCUCUGGGGCUUGCGCAUAAACAGUGUGCUAGAUCCCGCUGGCUGAUGAUGCGAGGCCAGCGGCAUCUCCCAGAAGUUCUGAGCACCUCGCGAGAUGUUUGUCCAGCGUGAGCAUGGCGCUUAGCCCAAAUCUGGACUGACAUCUCCUCUGCCUCUCCAGCGCCUUGCUCCCAGCACCAGACCACAAAUAUCUUUCCCACUCUCCGUUGCAGUGGAGGACGCUUCAGUUUUCGAGCUUGGAGAGAUGUGGUGAGCUAAGGGCAGGAAGGAUCUGUCAUUCAGAAUAAAAGCAAGGCUAGAGUUUCCAAAUCUAUUUUAAUUUCAAAUUACUUUUCUUAAUAUUGAUUGGGGGGGACAGAAGAAACCCCACUCUCUCUCUCUCUCUCUGCUUGUUGCUUCCAAACCAGGAACGUGCAGUUGAGAUUUUUUCCUUGCACAAAAUGUACAGUUUUAGUCCUUUUGCUAGGCUUGCUUCCUCUUACUUCCCAAUAAGAUGCAUGGAAUUAAUGCCCAUGCCAGGUGAAAGCAGCAGUUUUCAAACAAACCGGGCAGCUUUCAUGAUGCUCAGCAAAACCUGCAGCGUGUUUUUAAGCACAAGAAAGAGGCGAAGAGAAGAAGAGGAAAAUGCCCUCCCUUUUACGUGCUAAGUCAAUGCUGCAAUUAUCCCUGGAGAUGCACAUGAGUGAUGAACUUCAACGGCUAGGAGGCCUUUUUCUUGCAAUUAUAAAGUGUGCCAGCUUUGGGGAGGGGAGAGCGAGCGAGUGAGCAGUUAACCUUUCCUUUGUGUGGUUUCGUUCCCCCUCAUUGCAUUUACAUUGGCCUUGAAGAGCUGGGACAUUUUGCAGAUGGCUUAGGGUCUAUAAAUUCUUAUUGAAACCAGGGCAAGCCAAGUAUAACAGGUAGCGAUCCAGACUUGUCUAAGACGGGAUAAACUCCAGCUAAGCAUGUAAAUAAUAUUUCAGGUCCUUUUCAGCAUGUAAACACAAUGCAUUGAGCCAGGUCCCCUUCAAGCCCUAUUCGCUUUCCCCCUAUUGUUAUUCUGUAACGGCCUCGCUCACAAAUCACAGUAAACCGUAGUUAAUGGCUUGCCGUGAACACAUUGAUCUGGCCGUUUUGCUCCUCCCCGCUAGCACGAGGGAGGAAUAAACCAUGAUCCCUGGCUUAGUGUUAUGUCUGAACUGGGAAUCGUGGUUUGCUUCACUCCAAACAAAGUGCAACCUGCAGCCAAAGUUUGUUCUUGGCUUACAGAUCAUAGUUUGAGUGAAGUAAUCCCUGGUUUGGACAUAAGGUUAAGCCAGGGAUCAUGGUUUGUUUCUCCAGUGCGCUAGCAGGGAGGAGCAACUUGGCUCAGAUCAGCAUGGAAAGCUAUUAACUAUGGCUUACCGCGAUGUGGAUUAAUGCACAGAAUCACAGUAUCGCAGAGUUGGAAGGGACCCACAGGUCAUCUAGUCCAACCCCCAAACCUCCAAGGAAAGAGAGUCCAUGAACUAGGGUGGGUUGCUUGAAUCUUUCUUUUUUUAUUAUUAUCAUAACAAGACAAUGAGAGGAAGCUCUGACUUAAGAAAUUAAGGGAUUGAUCCACUGGACAUUCCCCCUCUGCAGACACUAUGCAUAAGAGCAGCUCCCAUUCAUUUCAAUAGGAUUUUCACAUGACAGUUUCUUGAUCAAUUCCACAGAAUAACAAAUCAAGAUCGGGAUUAGUUUGCUGCUCCUAAAUCACAGGUGUGAGGCAAGAAACAGAGUAACUGGGGCAUGUGUGUCCAACUAAGAUGCAAUGCAGUGCUUAAAGUGUUGAACUAAAGGUAAAGGUAAAGGGACUCCUGACCAUUAGGUCCAGUCGUGGCCGACUCUGGGGUUGCGGCGCUCAUCUCGCUUUAUUGGCCGAGGGAGCCAGCGUACAGCUUCCGGGUCAUGUGGCCAGCAUGACUAAGCUGCUUCUGGCGAACCAGAGCAGCGCACGGAAACGCCAUUUACCUUCCCGCCAGAGUGGUACCUAUUUAUCUACUUGCACUUUGACGUGCGUUUGAACUGCUAGGUUGGCAGGAGCAGGGACCAAGCAAUGGGAGCUCACCCCAUCAUGGGGAUUCGAACUGCCAACCUUCUGAUCAGCAAGUCCUAGGCUCUGUGGUUUAACCCACAGCGCCACCCGUGUCCCUGGCAAAAAUUGUUGGACUAGGUCAGCUUAAAUCUCUGCUCAGCCAUGAAGUUGCCCAUUGGGGAGUCACUGCUUCUCAUAGCCCAGCCUGCAUCCUAAGAGUCGUUGUGAGGACAGACUUCCCAGAUCACACUGGUUCACUUAAGUGCAUCUGAAUACCACCUCCUGGAGAACACAAGGGGAAGGUUGCUAUUGAACUCAUAUCUGGCUUCUGGACAUCUCAAAGGCAUCUAUUUGACCAACGGGAGAACAGAAUGCUGGCCUGGGGGCAGGGGGGGCAGAUCCACACCCUGCAACCUGGGAGACCAGGGUCUGAAUACCCACUCUGCCAUUGGGCUCGUAGCUUGGCCUUGGUCCUCUUAGUGUUGCCUACCUCACAGGGAUGUUGUAAGGAUGAAACGAGGAGGUUAGGACUCAAUCCAAUAGAUUCAAAAAAGGAGAUUCCGACUCACCAGGAACAACUUUCUGACAGGAAGAGCUGUUUGACAGUGGAACGGACUCCCUCAGGAGGUUGUAGACUCUCCUUCCUCAGAGGUUUUAAAGGAGAGGCUGGAUGACCAUCUGUCAUGGAUGUUUUAGCUGAGAUUCCUACAUUGCAGGGGGCAGGACUAGAUGACCACCGGGCCCCCUUCCAACUCUACGGUUCUAUAACAAGCUGCAAAUUCUUUGGGGGAAGCCAUGUGCUAUAAAUUGCAUUUUAACCUGUAUUUUGAAUUGGUUUUUUUCCCACUUCCCUGCCCCCCCCCAUUGUGUUUUUUCUGUGAUUUUAUUGGUGUUAGCUGCCCUGAGCCUGGCUCUGGCCAGGAAGGGUGGGGUAUAAAUAAAAUUAUUAUUAUUAUUAUUAUUAUUAUUAUUAUAAAUGCGAUGUUGGGUGCGCUUUAAAAGUAUGGUGUGGAUCUGUCCCUAAAUCUUAUGUUCCUACAUUGACAUGGGGGGGGGGGAGAAAAGUGGUAUAGUCUGAAACUUUCUGUGAUAUCCAUAGCUGUCAACGUUCCCCUUUUUUAAAGGGAAAUUCCCUUAUUCCGAAUAGGAUUCCUCGCAAGAAAAGGGAAAAGUUGACAGCUAUGGUGAUAUCUGUAGGGUCAGAAACACAAUCGUCCAAAUUUGGGGACUUCCACCCACACAUACAGUAGGGAGCCAACAAUUUCACAGAUUUCGCGGCCUGCGCUGCUACACCUGCUUGGGUCAGGCAGGUGCCGGAUGAAAUCCUCCACGCAUCUAGAACAGGUUGGACCAGAAGUACAGGAGAAAUAAGGAAGUGCAGUCCUCUAAAUUAGAGCCACUUGGACGUAGCCUGAAAGGCAGUCAAUCUGCUGCGAUUGUGGAUUCGGUGGCAAUCACAGCAAGGAGGGAACGGCAAAAUGCUGGUGUCCUGGCAUGUUUCCAGAUGGGAACGCUAUAUUCUCCUCAGUUAAAUCCCUUCUCCAGUUUUAAUUUGAUAUGGCGUUCUUCUCACCCGUCGGUCUGAUGUGUUAUGGGGACAGCUGGCAUCCCUCAGUCAGACAUAUCAGCAUUAAAUGGCGGGUCGGGGUUUUGGGAGAGAGAGAGAAGAGAUGUUUUCCUCCUCAUAAAAUUCCCAUAUAGCUUUCUGUUUCAUGCGAUGAAAGGACCCAUGCAAAUUAAUUACCUUUUAGGCGUGUGCGUGUUAAGUUUUUGGCUCCACGUAAUACAAAGCACACAGGCUGCCUUGCAUGUGACUGCAACCAUUUCCAAACACCUGCGGUUUUUAAACCACUUUGAUUUUUGUCUUUAAGAAUAAUAUAAAUAAUGGGAAAGGGGAGGGGUGGGAUGGUUGCAAGGAAAUCUGACGACUGUGAGGCCCAAUUAAUGGAGGCUCACGGAUCAUAUUGGAAGCAUUGUAUGGGAAGGAUCAGACGCAGAACUUGAAAGUUAAGAUUGUUGUUAUUAUAAAACCAUUUACUCUGUAAUUUUUCAAGUUGAUGUGCUUAUUUUCUGCUGCAUGGAUCCCAUUAAAGCCUGGGAACACUCCAAGAGGAGAAUGCUGUGCUUUCUUCUGAAAGAGACUCCAUUUUCUAGUUUUACUUUGAACGGGUAUUUUGAGGGGGACAGGAAAAAGCAGCUAAAAACCCCAAAUUUAGUUGCUUAGGACUGCAGGAGCAUUUCAGCACAAGGUAUUUACUGUUAUGCACCAGUGGCGGAACUGAUAGGGUAGGAGGCAGGGAGGCAAACAGUAGGUGGCGCCAGAGAUAUUGGCAGGCAGAGCCAAAUAAUUCUAGUUUUGUCGCCAUCCUCCUGCCUGCCGAGGUCUACAAGGGCUUUACUGAGAUGGAGGAGGAAGCUGACAGGCAGAUCCACCUACAACUGAGACCUGCAAUCCACUCCAGCGACUUUGCUGCUAGUGAAGGUCUGUUGAGUGUGGUUCUCAAGCCACACUUGCAAAAAUGCUGCAAAAAUGUGGGGCUUUCAGGUAUUUGCUGGGGUCCUCAGUAAGAAGAUAGUGGUGGACAAUGGUGGAAAGUUUACCCUGACAGACAGCUUAUCCAACGCUAGCUGUUGUCCUCCAAAAUUUGCAGCAGCAGGGGCUAGGUAUUCUCCAGGGCAGCGCUGGGGGAAGUUUAUCUACAUACCCUUAGGGAUAGCCUUCCAGGGUCUUUGUGCAAGCAGAGGGCAGGGCCAAAGCAAACACACACAAACAAACAUAUAUAGAGGGGGCUACCCCCACCCUUAAAGAAGGACACUCCCCACUUUCGCACACAUUUAUAUGCGCAGGCACUCCCCUCCCUGCGACAAGGCAACAGGAAGAACCAUCGUUUUUGUUGUCGUUCAAACAUCACAGGUCCAUUGUGCAGCCAAGGAAAGAGUCCCGCAAUUCAGAUCCAAAACGUUUUGCAAGCCACAGGUGGACCGUGCUCUAAAUGUUCCCCAGGGCUGCUCUAAGGUGCACUCAUGGUUCACUCCCAGAGCAAUGGCGAGGUCCAACAGACCUCUGAGCGGAUGCACAGAGCACUUCCCACAAUCCCUUGCAAUGCCCAGGGAUUCUUUGGCCAACAAGCAAGGGGUUCCUAGGCAGCGGGUGUGGAAAGGCUUCCCUGAAGCCCUGCACUCGAAUUUCUUUGCCUCUUGUGCCCUUUAGCCUCAUCGGAGGGGGUGAGUCUAUGGCUGGGUGGUGGACCCGAUCUGCGUCCUACUCCGGAUGAAAACAUGCUGUUGCUGUUUUCCUAGUAGCUUGUGUCAUAACUAAGGCUGUGCAUGCAUUAUUGGCUGAAAGCACAGUGUGAUUCUCCACACCCCGAAAAACCCAAAACUGCAUUUCCAGUCACAUUUGCACCCUGCUGUACACAUCAGUGCGCCUAGGUGUGCUUCCAAGUCACCUGCUGUCUGUCCACACCAGUGGCUUACAUUUUCAAAUCAGAUUGAAACUGGUUUGUGGGGGAAAUGUAUCAAAAUGCAGAAUUAUCAAGAAACUGUGGGGUAGAUGAGGAUUGUGGCUAACUGCUAGCUUUGUGGGUGAAAGAGAAGCUUUUAAUGUUUGAUGUUUUACUGUGUUUGGUGUUUUCAUUUGUGGCUGGGGCAACGCAGUCAAAUGGGAAUAAUAAUAAUAAUAAUAAUAAUAAUAAUAAUAAUAAUAAUAAUGUGUGUACACUCCAAAACAGCAGUAGGAGUGCCCUAGAUUUUGGGCACACAGUUUAAAUAAUGGGUUGGAAGAUGUAUAGUUUUACCUCAAUAAUCAAUCUGACAAACUGGUUUAACAGAAUUGACUUUGUUUCAGAGAAUGAAAGACCCCUCAUUUUGAGGGGUGCUAAAUAAUUUUCAGCAUUCUUACCAAACUUUCUGUGGCAAGGAAGAGAUUUUGCCGCAUAGACAGCCCCCCUGAAAUAAAUAUAUCUACCUCACUAAGUUUCUGGGAGAGCAAAAGACCAAAAAUACAGUUUUUUUCCUCUCCACACAAAUUUCCAAGAAGUGCAAAAUUAUUUUCCACCAAGUGAUCCUCAGCAUGUUUACCUAGAGGUAAAUCCUGCCAAGUCCCACAGGACCUACUUUCUAGUACGUUAGCUUAGGGUUGUAACCUUAAGGUGCUGAAUAAUUUUUUAAUAACAAAUCCAGGAUACCCAGUCAAGAGGCGGAUAAUCUUCAACAAAAUGCUUCGUUUUAUAGCAUGUCCAAAUCGAUUUUUCACAUACAGAUGUCUGCCUAUUUUUCUGCUUCAAAAGCCCCAUUAAACUCAGCCUGUAGCUUAGACAGCCGAAUGAGUAUUAAACUAUCAAAGUCAUUAUAUUUUGGCAUCCGCCCCUCUUCUCUCCAGCAGAAAACGUCGGGUAUGAAUUAUGACACUAGCUGUUUUCCUUUAUUUGAACAGUGGAAAAUUGCUCCACAUUCACCCUUUCGUCAACAUUUUGUUUCUUGCUCAUUGCCAAUAUGAGAUAUAAAUGAGGAAAUGCAUUUAUUCCGCUUUCCCUAGAGAUCUUUUCCAUUUCUUUUUUUAUGUUUAAAAAGCAGCGACACAGGGACCCGUUUAGCGUCAUGCCUCCAGUCGGUGACAGUCAAUCUAUCAAUCAGCUAUCUUUUAAACGAGGCUGUCUUGGCAGAGAGGAAAGAAAGGGAG